UGGCUCAGUUGGUAAGAGCAUGACACUAACAAUGGCAGGGUUGUGGGUUCAAUUCUCGC
rnacentral:tRNA from 1 species